rnacentral:rRNA from 1 species
AGUGAACGCUGGCGGUAGGCCUAACACAUGCAAGUCGAACGGCAGCACAGUAAGAGCUUGCUCUUACGGGUGGCGAGUGGCGGACGGGUGAGGAAUACAUCGGAAUCUACUUUUUCGUGGGGGAUAACGUAGGGAAACUUACGCUAAUACCGCAUACGACCUACGGGUGAAAGCAGGGGAUCUUCGGACCUUGCGCGAUUGAAUGAGCCGAUGUCGGAUUAGCUAGUUGGCGGGGUAAAGGCCCACCAAGGCGACGAUCCGUAGCUGGUCUGAGAGGAUGAUCAGCCACACUGGAACUGAGACACGGUCCAGACUCCUACGGGAGGCAGCAGUGGGGAAUAUUGGACAAUGGGCGCAAGCCUGAUCCAGCCAUACCGCGGGGGUGAAGAAGGCCUUCGGGUUGUAAAGACCUUUUGUUGGGAAAGAAAAGCAGCAGGUUAAGACCCCGCUGUUCUGACGGUACCCAAAGAAUAAGCACCGGCUAACUUC